AAUGAACGCUGGCGGCGUGCUUAACACAUGCAAGUCGAGCGAGAAAGUUCCUUCGGGAAUGAGUACAGCGGCAGACGGGUGAGUAACGCGUGAGAAUCUGCCCUUUAGUGAGGAAUACCCCCGAGAAAUCGGGAUUAAUACUGCAUACGUCCCUCGUGAAAACGAUGGAGAAAGAUGGCCUCUUUGCUGUCGCUAAAGGAUGAGCUUGCGUACUAUUAGCUAGUUGGUGAGGUAAAGGCUCACCAAGGCGAAGAUGGUUAACCGGCCUGAGAGGGUGUACGGUCACACUGGAACUUAGACACGGUCCAGACUCCUACGGGAGGCAGCAGUGAGGAAUAUUGCGCAAUGGACGAAAGUCUGACGCAGCGACGCCGCGUGGAGGAUGAAGGUUUUCGGAUUGUAAACUCCUGUUAAGUGGGAAGAAAUCCCUGGUUCUAAUACAGCCGGGGGAUGACGGUACCAUUAGAGAAAGCACCGGCUAACUUCGUGCCAGCAGCCGCAGUAAGAC
rnacentral:rRNA from 1 species